UUGAACGCUGGCGGAAUGCUUUACACAUGCAAGUCGAACGGCAGCACGGGGGCAACCCUGGUGGCGAGUGGCGAACGGGUGAGUAAUACAUCGGAACGUGCCCAGUCGUGGGGGAUAACUACGCGAAAGCGUAGCUAAUACCGCAUACGAACUCUGGUUGAAAGCGGGGGAUCGCAAGACCUCGCGCGAUUGGAGCGGCCGAUGGCAGAUUAGGUAGUUGGUGAGGUAAAGGCUCACCAAGCCGACGAUCUGUAGCUGGUCUGAGAGGACGACCAGCCACACUGGGACUGAGACACGGCCCAGACUCCUACGGGAGGCAGCAGUGGGGAAUUUUGGACAAUGGGCGCAAGCCUGAUCCAGCCAUUCCGCGUGCAGGAUGAAGGCCCUCGGGUUGUAAACUGCUUUUGUACGGAACGAAACGGUCCUGGUUAAUACCCGGGGCUAAUGACGGUACCGUAAGAAUAAGCACCGGCUAACUACGUG
rnacentral:rRNA from 1 species